CAACUCAGGUGCCCAGAAGACUUUUUAGGAUGACGGUUAUUUUCUCUGGGAUAUUUCUUGAGUGGGGUUCAUGGUGAAAAGGUACCUGGGGCUUCAGGUUGCUCAGGACAUCCCUGAGUACCAGCCCUGCUCAGUUGUUCCCAACAGCAUCCACAGGAAUGGACUUUUGGUUCUGUUUCUACUUGCUGGUUGAUCUUUGUAUACUCAAGUGAUGGCUGAGGAAGAAUCAGAAGGCAACUUGUGGAGCUGGUCCAGAAGAAUUUUAGCAUCCCGAAUUUGGUGCCUUGAGGAGGAGGGGUCCCAGCCGACUGGAAGCUGGUGAAAUGUUGUCCUGACUUUCAAGAAGGACAAGAAGGAGGACCGCCGAAACUACAGGCCUAUUAGUCUCACUUCAGUGCCUGGUAAGGUUGCAGAGGAGAUUAUUUUGUAAAGUAAAACACCUGAAAUACAACACAAUCAUUGGCCACAACCAGCACGGCCGCAUCAGAGGAAAGUCCUGCUUAUCAAACCUGAUUUCCUUCUAUGACAAGAAGGACAAAAGACCUCACUCAUCAUUGACCAGAGGCUGGCAGAUCCAAAUGAAGGACCAUCUGUUUGGCCAGGGAGAAAAGGGUAAAGGAGCUGUCUAAAUCUUUGUCUAGGAGCCACCAGUGGAGCAGCCCAUCCAUGGAUCUGUCAAAGAGCAUUUUCCUAUCCCAGUUGGCUCACAACAGAGUGCUCCUCCUGGCCCAGCAGUUACGUGCUUCCAUGCCCCCUUGCAACCGGGGAGACCCUCUGAGCCAAGCGACUGCAGGAUGGUGAGGGAGAGAUGAGCUCUUGGAAGAACAGCACAUUUAUUCAGUUGAUUAAUUUUUAACAGGGAAAAAGAGCAAGCAUGGGGGAAAUUGUUCAGCUGGGAAGAGAGGAGAAAGUUGUGAGAACGGAACCAGAAAGGAAGGUGAAGAGCAGGAGAGCAGGGGAGAAGGCCUCUCUCACAACCCAUACUCCUGAGGUGCUCUUUGGGCUGAUUAGUAGUGAUUUGCACUCCCAACAAAUGUUUUCAUUUAUUUCAGGACAAAGAAAAUGGUUUGGUCCACCAAACAUAUUUUUCAUUCAAAAUGGGAAAAGCUACUCCUGAAGGCCUGUUUUCCUUUUUUUUAAUAAAGAAUAAAAACCUCAUACUUUCAAAAAUCCUCUUUUCCCUACUCAGGAUUAGUUAUUUGAAUAGAAGGAUUUGCUGAACGUGACCUGAAUUUAUCUAGUGUUUUAUCCUACCUAUAGCAGAAUAUUUCUGGAGAGUUUAUGACUGAAGGGUAGAAACAACAUCCUUGUUUAGCUUCUCUUUAGACUUGUGCAGAAUAUGGAUACAUGAUCCAUCUUGCACAACAGCACAGGUCCAAGUCCCAUUCCUCCUGCCAAAGCAGGCAGUCAUUGUGAGCUCUCAGUAGCUGAGGAAGACAGAAGUGAUUUGCAGCACCUCUGUGCAGGUCUGCACUCUGUCCAGGGCCCUCACUCCUUGCGGGCACCUCCCAGAGGCGCAGUAUUCAUGAAGGGUGCCUGUGAAAUUCUGCCCAUGCAGAAGCUAAAAUAGUCUUGUGUUAAAUAGUAUGCUUAUAGAUAGUGGCAUAUAUUUGUCUGGAUGUCUGUAACAGGAAUAGUGGAAAAACGAGAGAAGGCAGCAAGCCUUCUUGAUGUAACUGAAAGAUGAGGGAGAAGUUUAGAGGUCAAGAGCUGCUUGAAAAGUUGUGAUCAAAAAGGGUAUCUCAUGCUGUUUCUUUCCAAAUGAGCAGAGGGUGGCAGGAUUGUGGUAAACAGCCUUUGGCUGACCAUCUGGGUCAUGCUGGAAUAAUGACAUGAUAGGAUUCAAUGUCUCAUGAUGUUAUUUAUUGGGCUAAACAUGCCAAAUAGUGCAGAGGCUUACACACUCAGGUCAGUGUGUUGUUAUUGCUGCAUUUCCCACUUAAACAACUCCUUGUGCUUCUAAAGUUACCUGGCCCUGCCACAUGACCUCCAAGGGAGCAAGCCAAGAUUUUUAACAAUAUCUAUUACCUCUGUUUCACAGGUCAGUGCUCUUUAUAAACCGCUAGUGUUAUCCUGAAAAUCUAUUGUGAAAGACAGCGUAGAAAACAUUGGUGCAAAACUAACAAGAAGCACAUUGCUUCUGUUUAGGAGGGACUACCCUUGUGAUGUAGGUACAAAAAAAUUUCCCUGUUUCAAAACACACAUUUUAUCUAUGCAGGAUCAUAGUCCCAUAAUUCUCUUCAGCACUUCAAUGGCACUGACAUAGAAAAUGGUUUGUUCGCUCACAGACCGAGAAGGACUGGGAGGCUAACUUUACCGUUCCAGGAAAUACUUUGCCAGUGCUAACUUGUGAACUGUUAGCAGCCAAAUACUCUUAAUAUUUAUUCAAGUCAAAGAACUACUAUCCACCAGUUCCUGGUUAUAUUUCUUCUCCUAUUCCUCUUUAAAUUAUGAGUUUCCACUGGCCAAGUUGCUUUCAUGUUUAUUUUCUUUAACAUAGCAAGCCUGCAGCUGACAAUAACUUUUUGGGUUGUCUGGCCAUGAACUUCACAUUAGAAAACUUCAAACUGCGUUUCCCCCAUCUCUUAGAGCAGAACUAUUCUUAUGCAGACCUCUACCAGUACUUACAAUGCUGCAAUGAUAGUAAAAACAAACAAACAAACAAACAAAAAGAAAAAAAAAAAAAACACAAAAAAACUAAAACCAAACCAAACAAAAAAGAGUACCACUAUAAAUACUUUUAUUGCCGGUAUAGAUUAUUUACUGCCCACUUAGUUAAUCCCUAUAAAAUAACACAGCUGAAUGCCUUUAAGUUGCAUGCAUACAGAUUACUAAUUAAAUACACAGUUAAAUGGCUUGACCUGGCACAAUUCUGACCAUUAAAAUCAUUAAAGAAAUAGAGCUGUUGCAGUUGCCUCAAGGCAAAGUCUCCCAGUGAAUAAUUUGGGUAUUGCAGCAGUUUGGGGCAGUUUGGGACAGACAGGGUAGUCCCAAGCUGGAGGGACUGGUUUGGGAACCAGCUCCUUGAGAACUGAUCGCCUGACCCCAUCUCUCAGCCCAUGACUCCAGUUCAUCUCUCUGUGCCAUGGAGCCAAGGGUAGCAGGACAUAGGGGACACUGGGACUGGGGCAAAAGUUAAAAGAAAUCAACCAGAAGUACAAAUUCAUAUUUUCAUAAAGGUUUAGCUGAAUUCAAGCCUUUUGUUAUAAGGCUGUGUGCAAUUGCAGUAGAAGUUCAGCCAGCACUACAAACGCACGUCCUUCUGUUCCUGUCCCCUGUCCCUCAGUGGUCCCACGGGGAGCUCAGGGUUAAGGGGCUGGGGCAUCACAGCUGGCCACAGAAUGUCUUAGCAGCACUUCCUGGGCUGAAACUUCAGUCUAGCUUGGAGUAUUUGAAUAACUACACUUUGGUGACAAGAAUGAGAAUUUCAUCAAAGCAGGAGCUUCCUUGAACGGAUAUUGGCCUGUGCUUUCACAAGAAAGCUUCCUCUGCAGUUUCCAUCCUGAAGAACCUGCCACCCACCCUCAUGUUCACUGUUGCUAUGUUCAUGUGCACUAGGCUGGAGUAAGCAUUUUCCUGUCCCUAAGUGCAGUUUAGCCUCAGAAAUUACUAUAAUUCUACUUACUUAAACAGACCUAAUUUUUCAAUAGAAGUACUAUUUCAACAGAAGCAAUUAAAAAGUUCUGCUGUCAUGACAAGGCACCUGCUUCUAUCAAAACUUCAUUUAGCUUAUCAUUCUGUUUGACUUUCUGGAGUAAUUUUAGAACAGACAGGGUUUUUUGUUCUACUAAGAAUGCUUCCCUUUGAGAAAUAACAGUUUGUAAAACUGACCCACCAUGAAAUUUGUGAUUUUUUUCUCAGAGGACAGAAAGGUGAAGCUCUCUCAUUUUCAUCCAUUAAUUACCAGGGGAAAGAAGUAUGACAUAUGUAAAGAUCUUCAUGAAGUUAUAAAAGAGAGAGCAAACUAUGACAUGUCUGCAAAGGUGAUAAUGACAUUAGUAGAACCCAACCUAAGUAUCUUAACAAAACUAUUGUAGAUGUAUCCUAAUAUAAAGCAUGGGUACACAGGGGGAAACAAAGGCAAAUGGAAGUCUUCUUUAUGUUUACUGAACUCAUCAUUAACUGUUGUUUGUAUUUCAUGUGAAAUUCACCCUUUUUACAAACAACCACACUAAUAAA